rnacentral:tRNA from 1 species
GCGCCUAUAGCUCAGGGGAUAGAGCGCCGGUCUCCGGAACCGGGUGCGCAGGUUCGAAUCCUGCUAGGCGUC